rnacentral:tRNA from 1 species
GGCGCUAUAGCCAAGUGGUUACGGCGACAGAUUAGAAUAUUUACUAUCUGUUCCUCUUUGAGGGCGCAGGUUCGAGUCCUGCUGGCGUCG